CAGCCAGGUGAGUGCUCUACGGGCCACCGGCUGUGACCCCGGGAGCCACGGUGCUGUCUGUCUCCAGAAAACACUUGACGGAUGGAGGAAGCAUCUGAGACUAAGACCAUGGCUGUUCCCAGGAUUGUCACGGGGCAGAACACUGCGGCCAACCCCUCACACACUGGAGGUUGCACCACGGCUGGAGAGCAGGUGAACCUUUGCACAAACAAGGUUCAUCGUUGUAUCCUCAGUACCUGGCAGAGUCCCUGGCGUGUGCUUGCGUGAGGUCACCUGGAAAGCCGUUAAAACGAGUUGUCGGCGGGGGGCCAACGAUGAUGUGCUGGUU